AAGACGUAGAUCUCCACAUUUAGUAAUUAUAUGUUUGUUCCUCGAUAGGGAAAAAAGUAAGGCAACAACACUAAAGGGAUGUUCUAUCAAAUAUAAUCUUGGAAAUCAAUACAAUUUAUCGUCAGCUUGUUCCAUAGUCCUAGAAAAAGUCUGGUACUUUUAGCUAUAAACGAUCAUAAUAUUUUUCAGACAUGUCUUUCUGCAACUCUUCCUGGGGCAUGGAAAUCGGGAAAGUUCAUGACGGGUUAAAUUUCGUUUGAUUAACUAACCCUAAGGCAGGAAGGUUGAUACAACAGAUUUGACUUUGAAUGUAUUAAUGUUGACAUAAUUUCCUUGCAA
rnacentral:lncRNA from 1 species